CUGAUAUACAUGUUUACAUGCAAUAAAUUUUAGUACAUCUAUAUCAAUAAGAAGCCAAUUCUCUGUGGUACAUAUUAAGUGGGUGACCAUCUAGAAAACCACACUACAUCAUCAUGCGUAUCUAUAGUAGGAGCAGCCUUCAACAAAGCCCUCACAGACUUGAAAUCCCAGUGGACUUUGAUCAAUUGUAUCUCACCAUUCAGAGCAAGAAUGUGAGCAGUCUACCUCCACCUCUUCUGAGGCUACGAGGAUGCCCCCAGAAGCCUGGAGAACCCAUCAAUGUGCUGUAAAAUCUGAAAACCACGUCUCAAUGGCUUUACCUUAAUUGCCAGUACCUUGAAGGCCUGGGUUAUGACUUGAGACGCUAAUCGUAUGCAAUCCAUCUCACUGAGGUAUGGGGAGUCAAAAUAAAAGAAGAUCUUUCCUCACUCCAAGCACCGUAAACCAGUUGGAAAAGGCAACUAG